UCACACCUGUGCCGCUCACCAUGCUCUCAAACACAUGAAAAGGACUUGGGAGUUAUCCUGCCUAAUGAUUCCACCAAAUACAAGCAGCAAGUAUCUCAGAAUAAAAUAGGAGAUGGGCUGAAGACCAGAAACACAUGAGCUCUUGGAGGACACUCCAGAUCCAAACUGUAGCAAGUGGUGAUGAGGAGAAGGUCACUUGUCAGAGGUCUUCUUUCUGGGAAGCAGUCACUGUGUGUAUGAGAUGCCAUUUAACUACAAAAGCCUUUCAGAUGAUAAACAUUACCACCAUCUUUCAACUGCAGGAGCUGCACGCAGCUGGACAGAUCGCUUUGUACUGGCUCCAGUAUCUCCCCAAGAAUUCCUAAGCGAGAAAGACAAGCAAAUCAAAUCACCCACUGUGACCUGAGUACUGGCUCACGCGUGUCUGAGGAAUGCAUAGCACUGCUCCUGGAGGGGAGAUGACUGGGUGGGAAGAUCCUUGACCGGCGUCGCAUUUGUCCAUCUCUGAAAUGUGUUAUUCCUCAGACUGUAAUAGGCAUCAGCUCCUCUUGCAAUCUGCAAGGCAUCAAAAUGGAGAGAAGUAGGAAUUAUUUUUAAAAUGAAAUAAACCCUAGUAUACCUGAUUGUGAGGCUGUGGGUUAGUAAUCAAACAUACA